AUACGUAGGGUGCAAGCGUUAAUCGGAAUUACUGGGCGUAAAGCGUGCGCAGGCGGUUUUGUAAGACAGUGGUGAAAUCCCCGGGCUCAACCUGGGAACUGCCAUUGUGACUGCAAGGCUGGAGUGCGGCAGAGGGGGAUGGAAUUCCGCGUGUAGCAGUGAAAUGCGUAGAUAUGCGGAGGAAAACCGAUGGCGAAGGCAAUCCCCUGGGCCUGCACUGACGCUCAUGCACGAAAGCGUGGGGAGCAAACAGGAUUAGAUACCCUGGUAGUCCACGCCCUAAACGAUGUCAACUGGUUGUUGGGGAUUUAUUUUCUCAGUAACGAAGCUAACGCGUGAAGUUGACCGCCUGGGAAGUACGGCCGCAAGGUUAAAACUCAAAUGAAUUGACGGGG
rnacentral:rRNA from 1 species